rnacentral:rRNA from 1 species
AUUGAACGCUGGCGGCAGGCCUAACACAUGCAAGUCGAACGGUAACAGGAAGCAGCUUGCUGCUUUGCUGACGAGUGGCGGAAGGGUGAGUUAUGUCUGGGAAACUGCCUGAUGGAGGGGGAUAACUACUGGAAACGGUAGCUAAUACCGCAUAACGUCGCAAGAUCAAAGAGGGGGACCUUCGGGCCUCUUGCCAUCGGAUGUGCCCAGAUGGGAUUAGCUUGUUGGUGGGGUAACGGCUCACCAAGGCGACGAUCCCUAGCUGGUCUGAGAGGAUGACCAGCCACACUGGAACUGAGACACGGUCCAGACUCCUACGGGAGGCAGCAGUGGGGAAUAUUGCACAAUGGGCGGAAGCCUGAUGCAGCCAUGCCGCGUGUAUGAAGAAGGCCUUCGGGUUGUAAAGUACUUUCAGCGGGGAGGAAGGGAGUAAAGUUAAUACCUUGACUCAUUGACGUUACCCGCAGAAGAAGCACCGGCUAACUCCGUG